GUGGGGAAUCUUGCGCAAUGGGCGAAAGCCUGACGCAGCCAUGCCGCGUGAAUGAUGAAGGUCUUAGGAUUGUAAAAUUCUUUCACCGGGGACGAUAAUGACGGUACCCGGAGAAGAAGCUCCGGCUAACUUCGUGCCAGCAGCCGCGGUAAUACGAAGGGGGCUAGCGUUGCUCGGAAUUACUGGGCGUAAAGGGCGCGUAGGCGGACAGCUUAGUCAGAGGUGAAAGCCCAGGGCUCAACCUUGGAAUUGCCUUUGAUACUGGCUGUCUUGAGUUUGGGAGAGGUGAGUGGAAUUCCGAGUGUAGAGGUGAAAUUCGUAGAUAUUCGGAGGAACACCAGUGGCGAAGGCGGCUCACUGGCUCGAUACUGACGCUGAGGUGCGAAAGCGUGGGGAGCAAACAGGAUUAGAAACCCUGGUAGUCC
rnacentral:rRNA from 1 species